rnacentral:tRNA from 1 species
AAAGGGAGACCUAAUUCGGGUAUAAGACGAAAAAAUAGUAGUCGAAACCAAGAAUCAAUCCCAAAAGGUCGGAACGAGGUAUGUGGCUUUCAAACUAGGUUCUGGGUUCAUAAAAGACCUGAAUCAGGAACAAGGGCUAUUAGCUCAGGUGGUUAGAGCGCACCCCUGAUAAGGGUGAGGUCCCUGGUUCGAGUCCAGGAUGGCCCACCUGCACAGGUGGCAAAAACAAGAGAAGCGAGGAAUCAGCACCUUAUCUUACUGACAUAGUAAGAGAGAAUGCUGGCUCUGAGUAAAGAGUCCAGAGGAACCUUGAAAACUGCAUAGAGCUAGGUGAAAAAGCCAAAAAAGAAGACCGCAAG